rnacentral:rRNA from 1 species
AAUGAACGCUGGCGGCAUGCCUUACACAUGCAAGUCGAACGGCAGCAUGACCUAGCUUGCUAGGUUGAUGGCGAGUGGCGAACGGGUGAGUAAUGCAUCGGAACGUGCCUUUUAGUGGGGGAUAACGUAGCGAAAGUUACGCUAAUACCGCAUAUUCUCUGAGGAGGAAAGCAGGGGACCUUCGGGCCUUGCGCUAGAAGAACGGCCGAUGUCGGAUUAGCUAGUUGGUGAGGUAAAGGCUCACCAAGGCAACGAUCCGUAGCGGGUCUGAGAGGAUGAUCCGCCACACUGGGACUGAGACACGGCCCAGACUCCUACGGGAGGCAGCAGUGGGGAAUUUUGGACAAUGGGCGCAAGCCUGAUCCAGCCAUGCCGCGUGAGUGAAGAAGGCCUUCGGGUUGUAAAGCUCUUUCGGCUGGGAAGAAAUCGCACCCUCUAAUACAGGGUGUGGAUGACGGUACCAGCAUAAGAAGCACCGGCUAACUACGUG